UGGGGAAUUUUGGACAAUUGGGCGAAAGCCUGAUCCAGCAAUGCCGCGUGUGUGAAGAAGGCCUUCGGGUUGUAAAGCACUUUUGUCCGGAAAGAAAUCCUUGGCUCUAAUACAGUCGGGGGAUGACGGUACCGGAAGAAUAAGCACCGGCUAACUACGUGCCAGCAGCCGCGGUAAUACGUAGGGUGCAAGCGUUAAUCGGAAUUACUGGGCGUAAAGCGUGCGCAGGCGGUUUGCUAAGACCGAUGUGAAAUCCCCGGGCUCAACCUGGGAACUGCAUUGGUGACUGGCAGGCUAGAGUAUGGCAGAGGGGGGUAGAAUUCCACGUGUAGCAGUGAAAUGCGUAGAGAUGUGGAGGAAUACCGAUGGCGAAGGCAGCCCCCUGGCCAAGUACUGACGCUCAUGCACGAAAGCGUGGGGAGC
rnacentral:rRNA from 1 species